rnacentral:rRNA from 1 species
GCACUGAUGGAUGAGCCCAAGUCGGAUUAGCUAGUUGGCGGGGUAACGGCCCACCAAGGCGACGAUCCGUAGCUGGUCUGAGAGGACGAUCAGCCACACCGGAACUGAGACACGGUCCGG